rnacentral:rRNA from 1 species
UGAAUACGAGACGCUACGGCGUCGAAGCAGUCUAUGUCAUACUCCCAAGAAAAGCUCGCAAUGUCAUAAACAAAUAAUGCCUGUACCAUAACCGACACAGGUGGGUAGGUAGAGUAUACUAAGGGGCGCGAGAUAACUCUCUCUAAGGAACUCGGCAAAAUGACUCCGUAACUUCGGGAGAAGGAGUGCCUUAUUUAUAAGGUUGCAAUAACAAGAUCCAAGCAACUGUUUAUCAAAAACACAGGUCUCCGCUAAGUCGUAAGACGAUGUAUGGGGGCUGACGCCUGCCCAGUGCCAGAAGGUUAAAGAAGUUGGUUAGCAUUCGCGAAGCUGAUAACUGAAGCCCUGGUGAACGGCGGCCGUAACAAUAACGGUCCUAAGGUAGCGAAAUUCCUUGUCGGGUAAGUUCCGACCCGCACGAAAGGCGUAAUGAUUUGGAUACUGUCUCGGAGAGGGGCUCGGUGAAAUAGACUUGUCUGUGAAGAUGCGGACUUCCUGCACCUGGACAGAAAGACCCUAUGAAGCUUUACUGUAACUUGAAAUUGAAAUUGGACUUUAUUUGCGCAGCAUAGGUGGGAGGCGUUGAGAGUAUUCUUGCGGGAAUAUUGGAGCCAUCAGUGAGAUACCACUCUUGUAAUGUUAGAUUUCUAACUUUGGAUCAUUAUCUGGUCAAAGGACAGUUUCAGGCGGGCAGUUUGACUGGGGCGGUCGCCUCCCAAAUGGUAACGGAGGCGUACAAAGGUUUCCUCUGAACGGGUAGAAAUCGUAUCUAGAGUGUAAAGGCAUAAGGAAGCUUGACUGUGAGACCUACAAGUCGAGCAGGGACGAAAGUCGGUCUUAGUGAUCUGACGGUGCUGAGUGGAAAGGCCGUCACUCAACGGAUAAAAGUUACUCUAAGGAUAACAGGCUGAUCUCCCCCAAGAGUUCACAUCGACGGGGAGGUUUGGCACCUCGAUGUCGGCUCAUCGCAUCCUGGGGCGGUAGUACGUCCCAAGGGUUGGGCUGUUCGCCCAUGAAAGCGGUACGCGAGCUGGGUUCAGAACGUCGUGAGACAGUUCGGUCCAUAUCCGGUGUAGGCGUUAGAAUAUUGAGAGGAGCCUUCUUUAGUACGAGAGGACCGAGAAGGACAUACCUCUGGUGUACCAGUUAUCGUGCCAACGGUAAACGCUGGGUAGCUAUGUAUGGAGAGGAUAACCGCUGAAAGCAUCUAAGUGGGAAGCCCACCUCAAGAUAAG